rnacentral:rRNA from 1 species
CCUACGGGGGGCAGCAGUGGAGAAUAUUGCACAAUGGGCGCAAGCCUGAUGCAGCCAUGCCGCGUGUGUGAAGAAGGCCUUCGGGUUGUAAAGCACUUUCAGCGGGGAGGAAGGCGGUGAGGUUAAUAACCUCAUCGAUUGACGUUACCCGCAGAAGAAGCACCGGCUAACUCCGUGCCAGCAGCCGCGGUAAUACGGAGGGUGCAAGCGUUAAUCGGAAUUACUGGGCGUAAAGCGCACGCAGGCGGUCUGUCAAGUCGGAUGUGAAAUCCCCGGGCUCAACCUGGGAACUGCAUUCGAAACUGGCAGGUUAGAGUCUUGUAGAGGGGGGUAGAAUUCCAGGUGUAGCGGUGAAAUGCGUAGAGAUCUGGAGGAAUACCGGUGGCGAAGGCGGCCCCCUGGACAAAGACUGACGCUCAGGUGCGAAAGCGUGGGGAGCAAACAGGAUUAGAUACCCGAGUAGUC